AUUGAACGCUGGCGGCAUGCUUUACACAUGCAAGUCGAACGGCAGCACGGACUUCGGUCUGGUGGCGAGUGGCGAACGGGUGAGUAAUACAUCGGAACGUACCCAGUAAUGGGGGAUAACUAUCCGAAAGGAUAGCUAAUACCGCAUACGCCCUACGGGGGAAAGAGGGGGAUCGCAAGACCUCUUGUUAUUGGAGCGGCCGAUGGCUGAUUAGCUAGUUGGUGAGGUAAAGGCUCACCAAGGCGACGAUCAGUAGCGGGUCUUAGAGGACGAUCCGCCACCCUGGAACUGAGACACGGUCCAGACUCCUACGGGAGGCAGCAGUGGGGAAUCUUGGACAAUGGGCGAAAGCCUGAUCCAGCAAUGCCGCGUGCGUGAAGAAGGCCUUCGGGUUGUAAAGCGCUUUUGUCAGGGAGCAAAUCCUUGUGGCUAAUACCCACCGGGGAUGAGAGUACCUGAAGAAUAAGGACCGGCUAACUACGUGCCAGCCGCCGCUGUAA
rnacentral:rRNA from 1 species